AUUGAACGCUGGCGGCAUGCCUUACACAUGCAAGUCGCACGGCAGCACGGGUGCUUGCACCUGGUGGCGAGUGGCGAACGGGUGAGUAAUACAUCGGAACGUACCUUAUCGUGGGGGAUAACGCAGCGAAAGCUGUGCUAAUACCGCAUACGCCCUGAGGGGGAGAGCGGGGGAUCGCAAGACCUCGCGCGAUUAGACCGGCCGAUGCCUGAUUAGCUUGUUGGUGGGGUAAAAGCCCUCCAAGGCGACGAUCAGUAGCGGGUCUGCGAGGACGACCAGCCACACUGGAACUGAGACACGGUCCAGACACGUACGGGUGGCAGCAGGCGAGAAUUUUUCACAAUGGGCGAAAGCCUGAUGGAGCGACGCCGCGUGGGGGAUGAAUGGCUUCGGCCCGUAAACCCCUGUCAUUCGCGAUCAACCGUUGUUAUUUAAAAGAUGACAGCCUGAUAGUAGCGGAAGAGGAAGGGACGGCUAACUCUGUGCCAGCAGCCGCGGUAA
rnacentral:rRNA from 1 species